rnacentral:lncRNA from 1 species
GUCUCGGGAUGGGUGUGCGUGGUGUCUCGGGAUGGGUGUGCGUGGUGUCUCGGGAUGGGUGUGAGUGGUGUCUCGGGAUGGGUGUGAGUGGUGUCUCGGGAUGGGUGUGCAGUGGUGUCUCGGGAUGGGUGUGAGUGGUGUCUCGGGAUGGGUGUGAGUGGUGUCUCGGGAUGGGUGUGAGUGGUGUCACGGGAUGGGUGUGAGUGGUGUCUCGGGAUGGGUGUGCGUGGUGUCACGGGAUGGGUGUGAGUGGUGUCUCGGGAUGGGUGUGCGUGGUGUCACGGGAUGGGUGUGAGUGGUGUCACGGGAUGGGUGUGCAUGGUGUCUCGGGAUGGGUGUGCAGUGAUGUCACGAGAUGGGUGUGAGUGGUGUCUCGGGAUGGGUGUGAGUGGUGUCACGGGAUGGGUGUGCAGUGGUGUCUCGGGAUGGGUGUGAGUGGUGUCUCGGGAUGGGUGUGCAGUGGUGUCACGGGAUCGGUGUGAGUGGUG